GAUGAACGCUGGCGGCGUGCCUAAUACAUGCAAGUCGAGCGAACAGACGAGGAGCUUGCUCCUCUGACGUUAGCGGCGGACGGGUGAGUAACACGUGGAUAACCUACCUAUAAGACUGGGAUAACUUCGGGAAACCGGAGCUAAUACCGGAGAAUAUAUUGAACCGCAUGGGUCAAUAGUGAAAGACGGUGUUGCUGUCACUUAUAGAUGGUUCCGCGCCGCAUUAGCUAGUUGGUAAGGUAACGGCUUACCAAGGCAACGAUGCGUAGACGACCUGAGAGGGUGAUCGGCCACACUGGAACUUAGACACGGUCCAGACUCCUACGGGAGGCAGCAGUAGGGAAUCUUACGCAAUGGGCGAAAGCCUGACGGAGCAACGCCGCGUGAGUGAUGAAGGUCUUCGGAUCGUAAAACUCUGUUAUUAGGGAAGAACCAAUGUGUACGUAAAUAUGCACGUAUUGACGGUACCUAAUCAGAAAGCCACGGCUAACUACGUG
rnacentral:rRNA from 1 species